GGUUUGAAACUUUGAAGGAUCAUAUAACGGGUUUGCUGAUGAGAAUGUGAUUGGUGAAGGUGGAUAUGGGAUUGUGGGACAAGCUGAGAAGGAGUUCAAGGUUGAAGUGGAAGCAAUUGGUCGUGUUCGCCAUAAGAAUUUAGUGAGGUUGCUUGGCUACUGUGCUGAAGGUGCUCACAGGAUGCUUGUGUAUGAGUAUGUUGACAACGGAAACCUGGAAC
rnacentral:lncRNA from 1 species